UGGGGAAUUUUGGACAAUGGGGGCAACCCUGAUCCAGCAAUGCCGCGUGAGUGAAGAAGGCCUUCGGGUUGUAAAGCUCUUUUGUCAGGGAAGAAACACCGGCUCUAACACAGUCCGGGAAUGACGGUACCUGAAGAAUAAGCACCGGCUAACUACGUGCCAGCAGCCGCGGUAAUACGGAGGAUGCAAGCGUUAUCCGGAUUCAUUGGGUUUAAAGGGUGCGCAGGCGGAACGAUAAGUCAGUGGUGAAAUCCUGCAGCUUAACUGCAGAACUGCCAUUGAUACUGCCGUUCUUGAGUAUAGUUGAAGUGGGCGGAAUGUGUCAUGUAGCGGUGAAAUGCUUAGAUAUGACACAGAACACCGAUCGCGAAGGCGGCCACCUGGACAGUAACUGACGCUGAGGCGCGAAAGUGUGGGUAGCAAACAGG
rnacentral:rRNA from 1 species